rnacentral:lncRNA from 1 species
GUCAACAUAGUACCAGCAAAAUUAGCAGCACACAUGGGAGGAGGAGCUUGAUCACUGGAAUCCCCUAACUUGGUCUGUUGCAACAAGCUCAUCAAUUGACAUAGUGGUGUCUGCUCAACCCUGGUAUCACAGAGCUGUGACCAUCUAUGUGUGUUACACGGUGAUGGCUGGCAGGAGGAUCCCCAAGAGGAACAGACAUAUUAGGAUUCCCAUGAUUAACAG